rnacentral:rRNA from 1 species
UACGUAGGUGGCGAGCGUUGUCCGGAUUUACUGGGCGUAAAGAGCGCGCAGGCGGUCGUACAAGUCGCGUGUGAAAGCCCCCGGCUCAACUGGGGAGGGUCACGCGAUACUGUUCGACUCGAAGGCAGGAGAGGGAAGUGGAAUUCCCGGUGUAGUGGUGAAAUGCGUAGAUAUCCGGAGGAACACCAGUGGCGAAAGCGGCCACCUGGACUGUACCUGACGCUCAAACGCGAAAGCUAGGGGAGCGAACGGG